GACGAACGCUGGCGGCGUGCCUAAUACAUGCAAGUCGAGCGAACAGACGAGGAGCUUGCUCCUCUGACGUUAGCGGCGGACGGGUGAGUAACACGUGGAUAGCCUACCUAUAAGACUGGGAUAACUUCGGGAAACCGGAGCUAAUACCGGAUAAUAUAUUGAACCGCAUGGUUCAAUAGUGAAAGACGGUUUUGCUGUCACUUAUAGAUGGAUCCGCGCCGCAUUAGCUAGUUGGUAAGGUAACGGCUUACCAAGGCAACGAUGCGUAGCCGACCUGUGAGGGUGAACGGCCACACUGGAACUGAGACACGGUCCAGACUCCUACGGGAGGCAGCAGUAGGGAAUCUUCCGCAAUGGGCGGAAGCCUGACGGAGCAACGCCGCGUGAGUGAUGAAGGUCUUCGGAUCGUAAAACUCUGUUAUUAGGGAAGAACAAAUGUGUAAGUAACUAUGCACGUCUUGACGGUACCUAAUCAGAAAGCCACGGCUAACUACGUG
rnacentral:rRNA from 1 species